rnacentral:rRNA from 1 species
GCAUUGGCGGGUGCCUAUACAUGCAGUCGAGCGAUCUCUUCGGAGCUUGCUCUGAUGAAGUUAGCGGCCGAAGGGUGCCUGCGCUGGGGUCCCUGAACUAACCAAUGGGAUACUCCACUAAAACGGGGCUACUAGUCCCAAGGUUUUUAACCCAUCUUCCGCAAUUGAAAGGCUAUUCGGCUGUCACAAUGGAUGGACCCGUAACGCCUACCUAGUUGGUGAUGUAACGGCUCACCGAGCGGUGGGCGUAACCCACCUGAUAGGGUGAUCGGCCACCUCCGGACUGAGACACGGCCCAGACUCCUACCGCAAGCAGCAGUAGGGAAUCUUCCACAAUGGGCGAAGGUCUGAAAGGCCAACGCCCCGUGAAUCAUGAAUGCUUUCGGAUAUUAAAACUCUGUUUUCAGGGAAGAACCCUAUACUACAUGCAGCUGGCACUUUGAAUAUACCUGGGGCUAACCUUCGGCUAACUUACUUCCUACCUGCCGGUGCUUUCGUGGUUUUUUAAGCGUAAUCCGAAAUCUUGGGCUCAACCGCGCUAACCGGUGGCUUCUUAAUUCUUUGGUGAAAGCCCACGGCCCACCGAAUUCAGGGUGUAUGGAAAUUGGGAAACUUGAUUGCGAAGAAUAAAAGUGGAAUUCGCAGUUCUCUGUGAAAUUGCGUAAAACUUGGCACGAAACCGUGGGCAAAGGCAAGAUUCUGAUUCUCUGGUAGUCCACGAGGUAAAAAUGAGUAGGAGCGUGUCAGGAUUAAUACCCUCGGUGCCGCCGCUAACACAAUAAAUACUUCAGUGUUGGAGGUUUUCACGCUCUUAGUCUGAUCAAGUAGACGCUGUUAGACACUCAGACUGCGGAGUAGGGCCUAAGAGCGCAAACUCAAGGUAUUGAGGGGUUGAAAGA